UACGUAGGUGGCAAGCGUUGUCCGGAGUUACUGGGCGUAAAGCGUGCGCAGGCGGCUCAUUGCGCCCGGCGUGAAAGCCCCCGGCUCAACCGGGGGAGGGUCGUCGGGUACGGGUGAGCUUGAGGGUAUCGAGGGGCUGGUGGAAUUCCCGGUGUAGUGGUGAAAUGCGUAGAGAUCCGGAGGAACCCCAGAGGCGAAGGCGGCAUUCUGGCUCGCAACUGACGCUCAGACACGACAGCAUGGGGAGCGAACGGG
rnacentral:rRNA from 1 species